AUUGAACGCUGGCGGCAUGCCUUACACAUGCAAGUCGAACGGUAACGCGGGGCAACCUGGCGACGAGUGGCGAACGGGUGAGUAAUGUAUCGGAACGUGCCCAGUUGUGGGGGAUAACUGCUCGAAAGAGCAGCUAAUACCGCAUACGACCUGAGGGUGAAAGCGGGGGAUCGCAAGACCUCGCGCAAUUGGAGCGGCCGAUAUCAGAUUAGGUAGUUGGUGGGUAAAGGCUCACCAAGCCAACGAUCUGUAGCUGGUCUGAGAGGACGACCAGCCACACUGGGACUGAGACACGGCCCAGACUCCUACGGGAGGCAGCAGUGGGGAAUUUUGGACAAUGGACGCAAGUCUGAUCCAGCCAUGCCGCGUGUGGGAAGAAGGCCUUCGGGUUGUAAACCGCUUUUGUCAGGGAAGAAACGCUUUGGGUUAAUACCUCGGGGUAACGACGGUACCUGAAGAAUAAGCACCGGCUAACUACGUGCCAGCAGCCGCCUAACAC
rnacentral:rRNA from 1 species